rnacentral:rRNA from 3 species
UACGAAGGGGGCUAGCGUUGUUCGGAAUCACUGGGCGUAAAGCGCAUGCAGGCGGAUUGUUAAGUCGGGGGUGAAAUCCCGAGGCUCAACCUCGGAACUGCCUUCGAUACUGGCAAUCUUGAGUCCGGGAGAGGUGAGUGGAACUGCGAGUGUAGAGGUGAAAUUCGUAGAUAUUCGCAAGAACACCAGUGGCGAAGGCGGCUCACUGGCCCGGUACUGACGCUGAGGUGCGAAAGCGUGGGGAGCAAACAGG